AGAGUUUGAUUAUGGCUCAGAACGAACGCUGGCGGCGCGUUUUAAGCAUGCAAGUCGAGCGGCAAGGGUCUUCGGGCCCCUAGAGCGGCGGACGGGUGAGUAACACGUGGACAAUCUGCCCCCCGGCCGGGGAUAGCCCAGGGAAACCUGGAUUAAUACCGGAUGAGACGGGACCCGCGGAGGCGGGAUCCGGGAAAGGCGCUGCGGCGCCGCCGGGGGAUGAGUCUGCGUCCCAUUAGCUUGACGGCGGGGUAACGGCCCACCGUGGCGACGAUGGGUAGCCGGCCUGAGAGGGUGUACGGCCACAUUGGAACUGAGACACGGUCCAGACUCCUACGGGAGGCAGCAGCUAAGAAUCUUCCGCAAUGGGCGAAAGCCUGACGGAGCGACGCCGCGUGAACGAAGAAGGCCGUGAGGUUGUAAAGUUCUUUUCGGGAGGGGGAACAACCGUGGCAGGGAAUGGCCGCGGGAUGACGUGAAUCCCGGAAUAAGCCCCGGCUAACUACGUGCCAGCAGCCGCGGUAACACGUAGGGGGCGAGCGUCGUUCGGAAUCAUUGGGCGUAAAGGGCGUGCAGGCGGUCCUGCAAGUCCGGCGUGAAAGACCCCGGCCCAACCGGGGGGGCGCGCUGGAAACUGCAGGGCUUGAGUACAGGAGGGGAUGCCGGAAUUUCAGGUGUAGGGGUGAAAUCUGUAGAUAUCUGGAGGAACACCAAUGGCGAAGGCAGGCAUCUGGCCAUGUACUGACGCUGAGACGCGAAGGUGCGGGGAGCAAACAGGAUUAGAUACCCUGGUAGUC
rnacentral:rRNA from 1 species